ACCCUGGCCUGUACACAUGGCUUUCUGCCUAUCAUGUAUCAGCUGUGAUAAAUCUUCCUCUAUCCCCAGAUGCAACACAGUUUAUCUCCAAGGUGGAUCAAGUGAAACAGGCAGUAAGCCUCUCCUGGUCAACUAGGAAGCCCAAAGGAGAUCAUCUGGGACUGCAACAAGACAGGACUAGAAUGACUUCAGGAAUCUACCAAAUCACUGGUGACCUCUCCUGGUGCCUCCCCAUUCCCUGAGAAACCUUUGGGAACUGAAAGGCAAAGAAACAGGCGGGCAUCUGCUGUGGAAAAGAGCAGUACCUGAGACGAAUGUCAGGGCCUGAAUUAAGCUGAUUGGCACGCAUUAAAAUGCAACAUAAUGGUGUAUUUGUCACCUGGUCCCUCUCCUGCAGUCGGCUCAUGAGGCAUAAUGAUGGCUUACUGACAGAAGCAGGGACUCAGCAGCGUGAUAAUAUUGCCACACUGAUGGUCUGAAGUGGCCCCACUGUCGCCUGUAUUUGGCUGGAAACAGCAGCCGUUCAGUCUUGCAGGCAGGGUGCUGCAAACAGACCCACAGCCCUGCACAAGGCUGUCCAUUUUGAAAGGCUUGAAGUAAAGCAUUCUCAGCCAU